UCGCUCACCUCAGUGGUCCUAUUCGGACUCGAACUUAUGACCAUCGGCGAGUAAACCAAUGUCUGACCACUGAUUUACCCCUCAAGGUUCAAUAUUGUAUAACUUACUCCAAGACUUGAUAAUUCCAUACUCUUUCAUCAACCAAAUGCAUCAAGACUCACUGCCAGUGGCGAAUCCAGCAUCAACAUUCAGCUAGGGUGGAGGUUAAAUUUGACCAUUGAUCAUCGACGAUUGUAAAAGUCUGAUCCGAUCGGCGGCCAAUCGUUUAUUAAAAUUAGAUUAAAUAAUAUUAAAAAUUAUUCAAUAUAUAUGUAAAUGCACUAAACUCUAGAA
rnacentral:lncRNA from 1 species